rnacentral:rRNA from 1 species
UUGGAGGGCAAGUCUGGUGCCAGCAGCCGCGGUAAUUCCAGCUCCAAUAGCGUAUAUUAAAGUUGUUGCAGUUAAAAAGCUCGUAGUUGAAUUUCGGGAUUAGUACGCUGGUCGUGCCUUCGGUACGUACUGGUGUUACUGAUUCCUACCUUCUGACGAACCAUCAUGUCAUUAGUUUGGUGUGGUGGGGAAUCAGGACUGUUACUUUGAAAAAAUUAGAGUGUUUAAAGCAGGCUCGCGCUUGAAUACAUUAGCAUGGAAUAAUAGAAUAGGACGGUGGUCCUGUUUUGUUGGUUUCUGAAUCACCGUAAUGAUUAAUAGGGAUAGUUGGGGGCAUUAGUAUUCAAUUGUCAGAGGUGAAAUUCUUGGAUUUAUUGAAGACUAACUUCUGCGAAAGCAUUUGCCAAGGAUGUUUUCAUUAAUCAAGAACGAAAGUUAGGGGAUCGAAGACGAUCAGAUACCGUCAUAGUCUUAACCAUAAACUAUGCCGACUAGGGAUCGGAUGAUGUUAAUUUUUUAAUGACUCAUUCGGCGCCUUACGGGAAAC